AUGCUACUACGGGAUUCAUUUGAUGACGAGGGAUCCAAAAUCCUCAUGAUCCUGUGUGCAAGCCCUGACCCAAAGGACCUGCACAAGACGAUAUCCACCCUGGAGUACGGAGCCAGAGCGAAAUGCAUCACCCGUGCAGCUCACGCAUCGACACCGUGGGGCAAAAAGAUGAGCUCCAAAGACGCCGGGUACGAGAUGCGGUUGAAGGACGAGGAGAUAGCGCGGCUGAGGACGAAGCUCGGGUUGAUGGAAGCAGCCGCCAAGGAGGAAGAGAUCCACGCGAAGGCCGCUGAUGAGGAGACCCGGGUCCUGAGGAGUGAGCUGAGGACGAUGGAAGAGAAUAUGCUUAUGCAGCACCAGGAGCUCCUUGCUGUGAAGCAGCGGCUGCAGGAGGUGGAGCGCGAGAAGCUCGGCGCGGAGGAUGAGUCGCACCUGGCCUGGAGGGUCAUGAUGAAGCUUGCGGUCUACGUGCAAAACUUGGGCGGCCCACUUGAAUGA
rnacentral:rRNA from 1 species